rnacentral:rRNA from 1 species
UACGAAGGGUGCAAGCGUUGCUCGGAAUUAUUGGGCGUAAAGGGUAGGUAGGUGGUAAUAAAAAGUCUGGGGGUGAAAUCCCUGAGCUCAACUCAGGACUGCCUUGGAAACUUUAUUACUAGAGUGCUGGAGAGGUUCGCAGAAUUCCCGGUGUAGCGGUGAAAUGCGUAGAGAUCGGGAGGAAUACCAGAGGCGAAGGCGGCGAACUGGACAGCAACUGACACUCAACUACGAAAGCGUGGGUAGCAAACAGGG